rnacentral:rRNA from 1 species
GACGAACGCUGGCGGCGUGCUUAACACAUGCAAGUCGAACGGAAAGGCCCUGCUUUUGUGGGGUGCUCGAGUGGCGAACGGGUGAGUAACACGUGAGUAACCUGCCCUUGACUUUGGGAUAACUUCAGGAAACUGGGGCUAAUACCGGAUAGGAGCUCCUGCUGCAUGGUGGGGGUUGGAAAGUUUCGGCGGUUGGGGAUGGACUCGCGGCUUAUCAGCUUGUUGGUGGGGUAGUGGCUUACCAAUGCUUUGACGGGUAGCCGGCCUGAGAGGGUGACCGGCCACAUUGAGACUGCGAUACGGCCCAGACGCCUACGGGAGGCAGCAGUGGGGAAUAUUGCACCAUGGGCGGAAGCCUGAUGCAGCAACGCCGCGUGCGGGAUGACGGCCUUCGGGUUGUAAACCGCUUUCGCCUGUGACGAAGCGUGAGUGACGGUAAUGGGUAAAGAAGCACCGGCUAACUACGUG